rnacentral:rRNA from 1 species
UACGUAGGGGGCAAGCGUUGUCCGGAAUCAUUGGGCGUAAAGAGCGCGUAGGCGGCCCUGUAAGUCCGCUGUGAAAGUCAAGGGCUCAACCCUUGGAUGCCGGUGGAUACUGCAGGGCUAGAGUCCGGAAGAGGCGAGUGGAAUUCCUGGUGUAGCGGUGAAAUGCGCAGAUAUCAGGAGGAACACCGGUGGCGAAGGCGGGUCUCUGGGCCGUAACUGACGCUGAGGAGCGAAAGCAUGGGGGGCGAACAGG